rnacentral:misc_RNA from 1 species
GAUGAAGAACGUAGCGAAAUGCGAUACUUGGUGUGAAUUGCAGAAUCCCGUGAACCAUCGAGUCUUUGAACGCAAGUUGCGCCCGAAGCCAUUAGGCCGAGGGCACGCCUGCCUGGGCGUCACACGUCGUUGCCCCCCCAUCUACUCCUUCGGGAUUGCGGGGGGCGGAUGAUGGCCUCUCGUGCGCCUCGUCGCGCGGUUGGCCUAAAUGCCGAGUCCUCGGCGACGCACGCCACGACAAUCGGUGGUUGCGAAACCUCGGUUGCCUGUCGUGUGCGGUCGUCGCGCAUCGAGGGCUCGAAAAAAUUGCCGGGCUUCGGCUCGACUUUCAACGCGACCCCAGGUCAGGCGGGGUUACCCGCUGAAUUUAAGCAUAUCAAUAAGCGGAGGA